UACGUAGGGAGCAAGCGUUGUCCGGAAUCAUUGGGCGUAAAGCGCGCGUAGGUGGCUUCGUAAGUCCGUUGUGAAAGUCAAAGGCUCAACCUUUGAAAGCCGAUGGAUACUGUGAAGCUAGAGUACGGAAGAGGAGAGUGGAAUUCCCGGUGUAGCGGUGAAAUGCGCAGAUAUCGGGAAGAACACCCGUGGCGAAGGCGGCUCUCUGGGACGGUACUGACGCUGAGACGCGAAAGCGUGGGGAGCGAACAGG
rnacentral:rRNA from 1 species